rnacentral:rRNA from 1 species
GAUGAACGCUAGCGGCAGGCCUAAUACAUGCAAGUCGAGGGGCAGCGGGAGUAGCAAUACUUGCCGGCGACCGGCGCACGGGUGCGUAACACGUAUACAAUCUGCCUAUAACAGGGGGAUAGCCCGGAGAAAUCCGGAUUAAUACCCCAUAACAGUUGAAGAAGCAUUUCUUUGACUUGAAAACUACGGUGGUUAUAGAUGAGUAUGCGUAUGAUUAGCUAGUUGGUAGGUAACGGACUACCAAGGCCACGAUCAUUAGGGGUACUGAGAGGUUAAAACCCCCACACGGAUACUAGAG